UGGAUCCAGACUUUGAUUAUGGCUCAGGACGAACGCUGGCGGCGUGCCUAACACGUGCAAGUCGAACGGAACUUCUUUAAAGGAUUUCUUCGGAAUGAAUUUGAUUAAGUUUAGUGGCGGACGGGUGAGUAACGCGUGAGUAACCUGCCUCUAAGAGGGGAAUAACAUUCUGAAAAGAAUGCUAAUACCGCAUAAUAUAUAUUUAUCGCAUGGUAGAUAUAUCAAAGAUUUAUCGCUUAGAGAUGGACUCGCGUCCGAUUAGUUAGUUGGUGAGGUAACGGCUCACCAAGACCGCGAUCGGUAGCCGGACUGAGAGGUUGAACGGCCACAUUGGGACUGAGACACGGCCCAGACUCCUACGGGAGGCAGCAGUGGGGGAUAUUGCGCAAUGGGGGAAACCCUGACGCAGCAACGCCGCGUGAAGGAUGAAGGUCUUCGGAUUGUAAACUUCUUUUAUUAAGGACGAAGAAAGUGACGGUACUUAAUGAAUAAGCUCCGGCUAACUACGUGCCAGCAGCCGCGGUAAUACGUAGGGAGCAAGCGUUGUCCGGAUUUACUGGGUGUAAAGGGUGCGUAGGCGGCUUUGCAAGUCAGAUGUGAAAUCUAUGGGCUCAACCCAUAGCCUGCAUUCGAAACUGCAGAGCUUGAGUGAAGUAGAGGCAGGCGGAAUUCCCCGUGUAGCGGUGAAAUGCGUAGAGAUGGGGAGGAACACCAGUGGCGAAGGCGGCCUGCUGGGCUUUAACUGACGCUGAGGCACGAAAGCGUGGGUAGCAAACAGGAUUAGAUACCCUGGUAGUCCACGCUGUAAACGAUGAUUACUAGGUGUGGGGGGUCUGACCCCUUCCGUGCCGGAGUUAACACAAUAAGUAAUCCACCUGGGGAGUACGGCCGCAAGGUUGCAACUCAAAUGAAUUGACGGA
rnacentral:rRNA from 1 species